UACGUAGGGUGCGAGCGUUAAUCGGAAUUACUGGGCGUAAAGCGUGCGCAGGCGGUUUUGUAAGCCAGAUGUGAAAUCCCCGGGCUCAACCUGGGAACUGCAUUUGUGACUGCAUAGCUAGAGUACGGUAGAGGGGGAUGGAAUUCCGCGUGUAGCAGUGAAAUGCGUAGAUAUGCGGAGGAACACCGAUGGCGAAGGCAAUCCCCUGGACCUGUACUGACGCUCAUGCACGAAAGCGUGGGGAGCAAACAGG
rnacentral:rRNA from 1 species